AUUGAACGCUGGCGGCAGGCUUAACACAUGCAAGUCGAGCGGAGAUGAGGUGCUUGCACCUUAUCUUAGCGGCGGACGGGUGAGUAAUGCUUAGGAAUCUGCCUAUUAGUGGGGGACAACAUUCCGAAAGGAAUGCUAAUACCGCAUACGCCCUACGGGGGAAAGCAGGGGAUCUUCGGACCUUGCGCUAAUAGAUGAGCCUAAGUCGGAUUAGCUAGUUGGUGGGGUAAAGGCCUACCA
rnacentral:rRNA from 1 species